AGCUCCAAUAGCGUAUACUAAUGUUGUUGCAGUUAAAAAGCUCGUAGUCGGAUUUCAGGAUUAGUUGUCGCCCUAUUACUGGGUUGUACUUCUACCCUUCCUAACGAACAGCUAUCAUUUCAUUUAUUUGAUGUGGUAGUCUAUCGUUUCUUUUACUUUGAGAAAAUUAGAGUGUUCAAAGCAGGCUUCUGCCCGAAUAUUACUCUUGGAAUAAUACUAUAGGACCUUGGACUUAUUUGAUGGUGAGUAGGACUGAGGUAAUGAUUGAUAGGGACGGUUGGGGUCAUUCGUACUGUAAAGCGAGCGGUGAAAUGCUUGGACCUUUAUAUGACGACCUACUGCGAAAGCAUUUGACUAGGACGUUCCCG
rnacentral:rRNA from 1 species